UACAGCGCGCCCCCGAGGGCCGGGGCUUCCCCUUCCCCGCCCUCCCGGCUUUCGCAGCAGAGUCCGGCUCUCCGCCCGCCGCCUUGGAAGCCUCACCGCACAGCAGCGUCCCCAGCCCGGGCUAUUCCGGGGACCGGAGGGUGCAACGCGUAAGGGGCCCGCCAGAUCCUAACUGCCGAGGAGGAGCAGGAGGAGGGAGGAGGAAGAAGAGGAAGGAGCAGCUUCUAGUUGCAGCUCAGGACCCAUGAGUUCACUCUCUCGCCAAGCACUCAGCUCCCGGCCCUGCCUACGGUCACCCGCAGACCUAAUGGUCGGCUAAGCGCCGCAGUGGCCCGAGAUGACACCAGGAGCCUCCCUUGCUGUGCGCUUCCGGAAGACGCGGAACGUCUUUCUCACACUCCUGGUACACAAAAAUACCCAACAACUCAAAAUCGCCGAACCACAUCUUUUCGCGCUUUAAAAACCUCUGCCCGAGCCUGUGGCAGGAGCAUAUCCAACUGUGAUUUGGAUUUAUUUUUAAACAUCGAAUCGAAGGGAAGAGGGGAGGGAUUCGCAACUAAAGCGUAGUUUUUUUUUCAAGCAAGUCUUUACAUAGCCCCAAACCUACUCUAGUACUCUGUCAUUCAGCCCCCAAACGUCUCUGCCUGCCCUUAUGGUUCGGAUCUCACUCCACUAUUAGCACCAAGUCCUAAAUCCACAAAGAGAUAGCUGUGCAGGAUACCAAACCCAUGUCUGCCUUUCCCCUACCUUCCAGGCAACUGGUGUCAAUCUCCUCACUGUAGUUCCCAGCAUCCCAGCCUGGGGUGCGGAGAACGAUAAUUUAAAUAACAUAGCGGGGAGGAGAGGACACACAGUUUUGAAAGACGGUAAGCAUUCAGCUGUGUUCCCCUCUACGUCCUUACACUUGCUGAGCACUGACACCAAAUUUAAACCGCGUUCCUUCAAUACUGAUGUAAUUGUAAAGAGCUAUAAAGGGCAAUGACCUCUUGAAGUGAGUGUUUUUUUCCCCAGGUACCCUACGAGGUCUGCACAAAUCGAGAAAGCAUCAUGUAGCAGAAAUGCUGAAAACUAUAGAUGCUGCAAAACCUCAUUCUGAGGCUGAAAACUAUGAAUAGUGGGUGUAUUUUCUCCUGCGGUGCAGAAAAAGAACCACCAAAAACAAAGCAACAAGGGAAAAUGUUAUUUAUUUUAAUGAUACCAAAAACACCAGUCCUAGCAAUUUAUUAAAGUUAAAUCAUAGUCCUUUAAA